GCGUGGGGGUGGAGCGGGACGAAGAUGGCCUGCGGACGGAGGAGCGGGACCGAACCGUUCUGGCGCGGCGCCCACCUCGCGGGGCGGGAAACCCGGCCGUCGGAUCGCUUGGGGUGCGAGGUGGCGGCGGACUGAGUUGGCGUGGGCGCCCACACCGCAAGUGUCUCCGGCGGUAGGGACUCCACUUCUCUGAGUAAAUGAGAGGAGAAGACUAAGACCACCUCUACAAAUCCGACCUCUAAGCGGGGAGCAGUCGGGAAGCCGGUCACAGCCGCUUCUGGAGGUGCAGGAGGUCUCUCUGCCUUCACUGCAGGGAAAUAGAAGGUCCCUCAUCUGUCCCCAGAAGAGCACCUUAUAUCAGCAAGCGGACCCCUGGCACCUGCCAUUGCAGCUUCCAUUGUGCAGCCACAUGUCCCCACCACGACUACCUAGCUCCAAUGUCACAUGGCCUGCAAAAAGGAUCUACCAUUGGAGCCAAAGCUCACCCCACUGGAGCACUAAUGUUGAGCAAAUUGGCUUUCGAAUCAUUCGUUUUCUUCACCAGGAGGGACAAGCUAUCAAUAGACACCUGGGACACGAUUCAGUCUGUUGUAACUGCAACCCUGAGCCAGAAGGAGCGUGCAGAGAACUUCCCUCCCUAGCUCCAUUUCUACACAAACGAUUUACUGUAACUCUUCUACAGUGCUUACACAACAAAUAAAGGUAGCACCGGA
rnacentral:lncRNA from 1 species